GAUGGACUGUCGAUUCACAUUGCUUAUUUGAGCUGUUUUUGCCAUAAUAUGCACUUGGUCUUUUACCAAAUAGGGCUAUAUUCUGUAUACCACACCUAACUUGUCACAACACAACUGAUUGGCUCAAGCACUGUUUCAAAGCAUCUUUAUGUCCACUCAUUCAUUUUUGCUUUCAGUCUGUGGAUUCGAACCUGGCAAUCUCUGACAAAUUUGUCCCUAACCCUGUCAACGUGUUGGACCUCUUUUACUGCCAGACAUCACAAAGCCCUUGACCACUACCCAUGACAAGGUGGUGGACAACACCACAACAACCCUGGUUGCUAUCCUAGUGAAUGUUGACAACAUCCCAACACCCCUGACCACUAACACAGUCAACCGCGGAGUUAAGGAGGAGGUGACCUCCAGUCAGUCCCUCCCUUUAGUACCUGACUUAUCCUGCCCCUGUCCAGUUAAGUGGUGGAAAGUUUGGGAGAUGUGAACUCUGAUAGAGAAAUAGAUCAACCUCCACGAACAGGUUGGUGUAUUGGGGCGGCCUGUUCUGUCCUCAGACUAAAGCAAGAUGAUGUUUAAAGCUCACUAUGGAUCUACAAACAGGUUAGCCUCUAUAAAGUCUUUGGAUGUAUUUGCAGUGUGAUUAUUGUGUGCUCUGUGUAGUUACUCUGUAUUUUCCAAUACUAACUGAAUGUAUUUACAGUCAAUCAAUUACAGUCAAUAAGCUCAGCAUUUAACACCAUAGUACCCUCCAAAC
rnacentral:lncRNA from 1 species